AGGGGUAGGGGGGUAACAGCUUGUGGGCUCAGGAUUACCAUGCUCACCAACGAGGCCACAAGCACAUCCCAGCUGCCCUAGGGCUCUCCUAGCAAAUGGGAAGGGGCUGAGGGCAAAGGAAGGUCUGAGCCCAUGGGUUCAGAACAAGGAAGUGCAAAGAUUACCACUGGUUUGCAAGCUGACAGGAUGUGGUACAUGUCAGCCCUCCCUCAGGAAGUAUGACAUACUGCCGGAACUGUGGCUAAUGGUGCGGACCACCCUGCUCACUGUUAGCAAAGUGGGUAGCUACCCUCUCUUCUGGAAGCCCCUCUGCAGCACUCCUCUUGGGAGUAGAAAAGGAAGUGGUCAAGACCUACAUUUGGGAGCUGAUCCGUCUUGCUCUCAGUUAGGGCCCAGCCCUUCUGUGGGGACCAGGAAAAUCUUUGCUCACCUGGAGAAGCUGCUGGUUCAGCCCAACUUUAUCUAACGCCAAAGCCUCAUUUAAGGCACUGAGCUUGACAGCUGCAGCCCGAAGAUCAGCUACUUCUGUCUUCAGGGUGUUUUCAGAACUCGACAGCUCUGCAAUUGACUGCUCUGCCUAAAAAACAAAAAGGAUUAAAGAGUUUCAUAUUUCCAAUUUUCCUGGAACAGUAAACAGUUCACAUUCCCAACA
rnacentral:lncRNA from 1 species